rnacentral:rRNA from 1 species
UUAAGCGACUAAGCGUACACGGUGGAUGCCCUGGCAGUCAGAGGCGAUGAAGGACGUGCUAAUCUGCGAUAAGCGUCGGUAAGGUGAUAUGAACCGUUAUAACCGGCGAUUUCCGAAUGGGGAAACCCAGUGUGAUUCGUCACACUAUCAUUAACUGAAUCCAUAGGUUAAUGAGGCGAACCGGGGGAACUGAAACAUCUAAGUACCCGAGGAAAAGAAAUCAACCGAGAUUCCCCCAGUAGCGGCGAGCGAACGGGGAGCAGCCCAGAGCCUGAAUCAGUGUGUGUGUUAGUGGAAGCGUCUGGAAAGGCGCGCGAUACAGGGUGACAGCCCCGUACACAAAAAUGCACAUGCUGUGAGCUCGAUGAGUAGGGCGGGACACGUGGUAUCCUGUCUGAAUAUGGGGGGACCAUCCUCCAAGGCUAAAUACUCCUGACUGACCGAUAGUGAACCAGUACCGUGAGGGAAAGGCGAAAAGAACCCCGGCGAGGGGAGUGAAAAAGAACCUGAAACCGUGUACGUACAAGCAGUGGGAGCACAGAGCAAUCUGUGUGACUGCGUACCUUUUGUAUAAUGGGUCAGCGACUUAUAUUCUGUAGCAAGGUUAACCGAAUAGGGGAGCCGAAGGGAAACCGAGUCUUAACUGGGCGUUAAGUUGCAGGGUAUAGACCCGAAACCCGGUGAUCUAGCCAUGGGCAGGUUGAAGGUUGGGUAACACUAACUGGAGGACCGAACCGACUAAUGUUGAAAAAUUAGCGGAUGACUUGUGGCUGGGGGUGAAAGGCCAAUCAAACCGGGAGAUAGCUGGUUCUCCCCGAAAGCUAUUUAGGUAGCGCCUCGUGAAUUCAUCUCCGGGGGUAGAGCACUGUUUCGGCAAGGGGGUCAUCCCGACUUACCAACCCGAUGCAAACUGCGAAUACCGGAGAAUGUUAUCACGGGAGACACACGGCGGGUGCUAACGUCCGUCGUGAAGAGGGAAACAACCCAGACCGCCAGCUAAGGUCCCAAAGUCAUGGUUAAGUGGGAAACGAUGUGGGAAGGCCCAGACAGCCAGGAUGUUGGCUUAGAAGCAGCCAUCAUUUAAAGAAAGCGUAAUAGCUCACUGGUCGAGUCGGCCUGCGCGGAAGAUGUAACGGGGCUAAACCAUGCACCGAAGCUGCGGCAGCGACGCUUAUGCGUUGUUGGGUAGGGGAGCGUUCUGUAAGCCUGUGAAGGUGUACUGUGAGGUAUGCUGGAGGUAUCAGAAGUGCGAAUGCUGACAUAAGUAACGAUAAAGCGGGUGAAAAGCCCGCUCGCCGGAAGACCAAGGGUUCCUGUCCAACGUUAAUCGGGGCAGGGUGAGUCGACCCCUAAGGCGAGGCCGAAAGGCGUAGUCGAUGGGAAACAGGUUAAUAUUCCUGUACUUGGUGUUACUGCGAAGGGGGGACGGAGAAGGCUAUGUUGGCCGGGCGACGGUUGUCCCGGUUUAAGCGUGUAGGCUGGUUUUCCAGGCAAAUCCGGAAAAUCAAGGCUGAGGCGUGAUGACGAGGCACUACGGUGCUGAAGCAACAAAUGCCCUGCUUCCAGGAAAAGCCUCUAAGCAUCAGGUAACAUCAAAUCGUACCCCAAACCGACACAGGUGGUCAGGUAGAGAAUACCAAGGCGCUUGAGAGAACUCGGGUGAAGGAACUAGGCAAAAUGGUGCCGUAACUUCGGGAGAAGGCACGCUGAUAUGUAGGUGAAGUCCCUCGCGGAUGGAGCUGAAAUCAGUCGAAGAUACCAGCUGGCUGCAACUGUUUAUUAAAAACACAGCACUGUGCAAACACGAAAGUGGACGUAUACGGUGUGACGCCUGCCCGGUGCCGGAAGGUUAAUUGAUGGGGUCAGCGCAAGCGAAGCUCUUGAUCGAAGCCCCGGUAAACGGCGGCCGUAACUAUAACGGUCCUAAGGUAGCGAAAUUCCUUGUCGGGUAAGUUCCGACCUGCACGAAUGGCGUAAUGAUGGCCAGGCUGUCUCCACCCGAGACUCAGUGAAAUUGAACUCGCUGUGAAGAUGCAGUGUACCCGCGGCAAGACGGAAAGACCCCGUGAACCUUUACUAUAGCUUGACACUGAACAUUGAGCCUUGAUGUGUAGGAUAGGUGGGAGGCUUUGAAGUGUGGACGCCAGUCUGCAUGGAGCCGACCUUGAAAUACCACCCUUUAAUGUUUGAUGUUCUAACGUUGACCCGUGAUCCGGGUUGCGGACAGUGUCUGGUGGGUAGUUUGACUGGGGCGGUCUCCUCCUAAAGAGUAACGGAGGAGCACGAAGGUUGGCUAAUCCUGGUCGGACAUCAGGAGGUUAGUGCAAUGGCAUAAGCCAGCUUGACUGCGAGCGUGACGGCGCGAGCAGGUGCGAAAGCAGGUCAUAGUGAUCCGGUGGUUCUGAAUGGAAGGGCCAUCGCUCAACGGAUAAAAGGUACUCCGGGGAUAACAGGCUGAUACCGCCCAAGAGUUCAUAUCGACGGCGGUGUUUGGCACCUCGAUGUCGGCUCAUCACAUCCUGGGGCUGAAGUAGGUCCCAAGGGUAUGGCUGUUCGCCAUUUAAAGUGGUACGCGAGCUGGGUUUAGAACGUCGUGAGACAGUUCGGUCCCUAUCUGCCGUGGGCGCUGGAGAACUGAGGGGGGCUGCUCCUAGUACGAGAGGACCGGAGUGGACGCAUCACUGGUGUUCGGGUUGUCAUGCCAAUGGCACUGCCCGGUAGCUAAAUGCGGAAGAGAUAAGUGCUGAAAGCAUCUAAGCACGAAACUUGCCCCGAGAUGAGUUCUCCCUGACUCCUUGAGAGUCCUGAAGGAACGUUGAAGACGACGACGUUGAUAGGCCGGGUGUGUAAGCGCAGCGAUGCGUUGAGCUAACCGGUACUAAUGAACCGUGAGGCUUAACCUU